rnacentral:rRNA from 1 species
AUGAACGCUGGCGGCGUGCCUAAUACAUGCAAGUCGCGCGAACAGACGAGGAGCUUGCUCCUCUGACGUUAGCGGCGGACGGGUGAGUAACACGUGGAUAACCUACCUAUAAGACUGGGAUAACUUCGGGAAACCGGAGCUAAUACCGGAUAAUAUAUUGAACCGCAUGGUUCAAUAGUGAAAGACGGUUUUGCUGUCACUUAUAGAUGGAUCCGCGCCGCAUUAGCUAGUUGGUAAGGUAACGGCUUACCAAGGCAACGAUGCGUAGCCGACCUGAGAGGGUGAUCGGCCACCCUGGAACUGAGACACGGUCCAGACUCCUACGGGAGGCAGCAGUAGGGAAUCUUCCGCAAUGGGCGAAAGCCUGACGGAGCAACGCCGCGUGAGUGAUGAAGGUCUUCGGAUCGUAAAACUCUGUUAUUAGGGAAGAACAAAUGUGUAAGUAACUAUGCACGUCUUGACGGUACCUAAUCAGAAAGCCACGGCUAACUACGUG